rnacentral:rRNA from 1 species
CCCUUAGAUGUUCUGGGCGGCCCGCGCACUACAAUGGCGCUUUCAGCGAGUUCCUAUGUUGAAUUUUCCUGGGUAUUCUUGGAAGCGGCGUCUUGACUUGGGAUAGAUCCCUGUAAUUGUUGGUUUUGAACGAGGAAUUCCUUGUAAUCGCGGUUGAUCAGCUCGCGUUGAAUACGUCCCUGCCCUUUGUACACACCGCCCGUCGCUCCUACCGAUGAAUCGUCCGGUGAAGUUCACAGAGUGGCGGUUCGUGGAGUUGCUCGCGAAGUGAAAUGGACCUCACGAUUUAGAGGAAGGAGAAGUCGUAACA